rnacentral:lncRNA from 1 species
UUCAGGGUCUGGGCAUUACCAGGUAGUUUCUAAAUGUUUUUCAGAUAAAAGAUGCCUAUUUUAUUCUGGCUGAAAGCAUGAACAGAAUAAACAAUGAGCUCUGUGAAGAAUGUUCUAUGAACCCGAAUCAAACUCAAACUCCUGUGUCACUCCGGUACGCCUGAUCACUGGAUAUAACCACGUAUUGGUCCAAACUAGCUCCAGAUCCAGGAGUCCCACCCAUUAGAGGCUGCCUAGAUUGACAAAGGGAGGGCACAGCCUUCAGUGACACAGUACAUGGUUCUCCCACCAGUUGAAGUGACAUACCCUAUCAGUUUUCCCUUCGGUCUGAAUGCUGGUGUGACUGCGGACCUCGUGUUCCUCUUCAAGGCUGUGUAAGAGGCAUGGCUGGGGAGGCCUCAGGAACCUUACAAUCAUGGUGGAAGGUAAAGGGGAAGCAAGCACAUCUUCACAUGGAGCAGGAGAGACAGAGCCAAGGGGGAAGCGCUGCACACUUUUAAACAACCAGAU